GAGGAAUAAGCAUCGGCUAACUCCGUGCCAGCAGCCGCGGUAAUACGGGGGAUGCAAGCGUUAUCCGGAAUCAUUGGGCGUAAAGCGCCUGUAGGUUGUUUAAUAAGUCUGUUGUUAAAGACUAGGGCUUAACCCUAGAAAAGCAAUGGAAACUACUAGACUAGAGUAUGGCAGGGGUAGAGGGAAUUUCUAGUGUAGCGGUGAAAUGCGUAGAUAUUAGAAAGAACACCGGUGGCGAAAGCGCUCUACUGGACCAUUACUGACACUCAGAGGCGAAAGCUAGGGUAGCAAAAGGGAUUAGAUACCCCUGUAGUCCUAGCCGUAAACGAUGGAUACUAGAUGUUGUGCAUAAUGUACAGUAUCGUAGCUAACGCGUUAAGUAUCCCGCCUGGGGAGUACGCUCGCAAGGGUGAAGCUCAAAGGAAUUGACGGGGGCCCGCACAAGCGGUGGAGCAUGUGGUUUAAUUCGAUGCAACGCGAAGAACCUUACCAGGGCUUGACAUACUACAGAUUCUUUUGAGAAAAAGAAGUGCCUUCGGGAAUGUAGAUACAGGUGGUGCAUGGCUGUCGUCAGCUCGUGUCGUGAGAUGUUGGGUUAAGUCCCGCAACGAGCGCAACCCUUAUUUUUAGUUACUAAUUCGUUAGGUUCUCUAGAAAGACUGCCGGUGACAAACCGGAGGAAGGUGAGGAUGACGUCAAGUCAGCAUGCCCCUUAUGUCCUGGGCUACACACGUGCUACAAUGGUUAAGACAAAGAGUCGCGAGCUCGCGAGAGUCAGCUAAUCUCAUAAACUUAGCCUAAGUUCAGAUUGUAGGCUGCAACUCGCCUACAGUGAAG
rnacentral:rRNA from 1 species